AAAUAAAGCUCAUGCUUUGCGUCCCUGUUUACAAGAUAUAGAAAUAUGCAAUAGUCUUUGUCUAUUUACUGCUGUUUAUUUAUUGACAAAUAAGCCGUUCUUCAACAAACAGUCUGUGUUGUAUCAAGCACCCCUGCAAACUCAUCUCUCCAGCAUAAAAUGUAUAUUGUUUGUUAUUCAUUAGUGCAAAUCUGAAUGAAGGCAACAUAACCUUGCAGGCUGGUCUGAUAAUAAAAAAAAUGAAAAUACUAAAUAUAACAAACAAUAUAAAAUAUCCAAUAAUUCUGCAGUUGUACAGGUUAUGAACUUCUGGAACUCUGUUUCCCAGAAACAGGAAAGAAGUGGUUUCUCAGCAGAUGAAUAACAGAGGUCUAUGCACUCUAUGGUAAAUCUGAAGUCAUUGCUUUGAGCACACAGUGGGAACCAGGAGCUCUGCUAGUACAGAUGUCAAAGAGUCAUGCUAAUAUUCAAAAGCUGGACUUAGAAGGUAUGAAUACGAACAUGGAAAAAAUGUCUGCUGAUCUUAAAAAGCUAACAGAGAAAUCACAGUUGCUUCUCUGUGAUCUGAAUUUAGCAUGCAACUAUCAAGGAAAAGAGAAGUACCUAAGAAAGUUUGAGGAGAAAAAUAUUUUCAAGAAGGAAAAAAAAAUAGCAUGUGACCAAAGGAAGAUGAGGUGACCCACUGAAGGAGGCCUUCGAUGCAUCUAUAUACAGUUUUCUGUUUUUCUAAUGUAUAUUCUUCUGUUUUCUCUUACGCAGCUAAUACAGCUACUGCCUACCUAAUUAAUAUUGUAAUAUUAAAAAUCGGUCAAUUAAAAAUAUUGUAAAU